rnacentral:rRNA from 1 species
CAGCCGCCACGGUAAUACGUAGGGUGCAAGCGUUAAUCGGAAUUACUGGGCGUAAAGCGUGCGCAGGCGGUUAUAUAAGACAGAUGUGAAAUCCCCGGGCUCAACCUGGGAACUGCAUUUGUGACUGUAUAGCUAGAGUACGGCAGAGGGGGAUGGAAUUCCGCGUGUAGCAGUGAAAUGCGUAGAUAUGCGGAGGAACACCGAUGGCGAAGGCAAUCCCCUGGGCCUGUACUGACGCUCAUGCACGAAAGCGUGGGGAGCAAACAGGAUUAGAUAUCCCAGUAGUCCCUGUCUCUUAUAC